rnacentral:rRNA from 1 species
UACGAAGGGGGCUAGCGUUGCUCGGAAUUACUGGGCGUAAAGCGCACGUAGGCGGUUUGUUAAGUCGGGGGUGAAAUCCUGGAGCUCAACUCCAGAACUGCCUUCGAUACUGGCGAUCUCGAGUUCGGGAGAGGUGAGUGGAACUGCGAGUGUAGAGGUGAAAUUCGUAGAUAUUCGCAAGAACACCAGCGGCGAAGGCGGCUCACUGGCCCGAUACUGACGCUGAGGUGCGAAAGCGUGGGGAGCAAACAGG